GGGGAAUAACAACCGGAAACGGUUGCUAAUACCGCAUAAUGCAGCGGCACCUAAUGGUGACAGUUGUUAAAGCGGGGGAUCGAAAGACCUCGCGUCUAAAGAGGAGCCUGCGGCGGAUUAGCUAGUUGGUAAGGUAAUGGCUUACCAAGGCUACGAUCCGUAACCGGCCUGAGAGGGCGGUCGGUCACACUGACACUGACAUACGGGUCAGACUCCUACGGGAGGCAGCAGUCGGGAAUUUUGGGCAAUGGGCGAAAGCCUGACCCAGCAACGCCGCGUGAAGGAUGAAAUCCCUCGGGAUGUAAACUUCGCAAGAACGGNAAGAAUAANNAGGGGACAAUACCCCCUAUGAUGACGGUACCG
rnacentral:rRNA from 1 species